rnacentral:rRNA from 1 species
UACGGGGGGGGCAAGCGUUGUUCGGAAUUACUGGGCGUAAAGCGCACGUAGGCGGCUUUGUAAGUUAGAGGUGAAAGCCCAGGGCUUAACCCUGGAAUUGCCUUUAAGACUGCAUCGCUAGAAUCGUGGAGAGGUGAGUGGAAUUCCGAGUGUAGAGGUGAAAUUCGUAGAUAUUCGGAAGAACACCAGUGGCGAAGGCGACUCACUGGACACGUAUUGACGCUGAGGUGCGAAAGCGUGGGGAGCAAACAGG